rnacentral:rRNA from 1 species
AAUGGGUCAGCGACUUAUAUUCUGUAGCAAGGUUAACCGAAUAGGGGAGCCGGAGGGAAACCGAGUCUUAACCGGGCGUUAAGUUGCAGGGUAUAGACCCGAAACCCGGUGAUCUAGCCAUGGGCAGGUUGAAGGUUGGGUAACACUAACUGGAGGACCGAACCGACUAAUGUUGAAAAAUUAGCGGAUGACCUGUGGCUGGGGGUGAAAGGCCAAUCAAACCGGGAGAUAGCUGGUUCUCCCCGAAAGCUAUUUAGGUAGCGCCUCGUGAAUUCAUCUCCGGGGGUAGAGCACUGUUUCGGCUAGGGGGCCAUCCCGGCUUACCAACCCGAUGCAAACUGCGAAUACCGGAGAAUGUUAUCACGGGAGACACACGGCGGGUGCUAACGUCCGUCGUGAAGAGGGAAACAACCCAGACCGCCAGCUAAGGUCCCAAAGUCAUGGUUAAGUGGGAAACGAUGUGGGAAGGCCCAGACAGCCAGGAUGUUGGCUUAGAAGCAGCCAUCAUUUAAAGAAAGCGUAAUAGCUCACUGGUCGAGUCGGCCUGCGCGGAAGAUGUAACGGGGCUAAACCAUGCACCGAAGCUGCGGCAGCGACGCUGAUGCGUUGUUGGGUAGGGGAGCGUUCUGUAAGCCUGCGAAGGUGGCCUGUGAGGGUUGCUGGAGGUAUCAGAAGUGCGAAUGCUGACAUAAGUAACGAUAAAGCGGGUGAAAAGCCCGCUCGCCGGAAGACCAAGGGUUCCUGUCCAACGUUAAUCGGGGCAGGGUGAGUCGACCCCUAAGGCGAGGCCGAAAGGCGUAGUCGAUGGGAAACGGGUUAAUAUUCCCGUACUUGGUGUUACUGCGAAGGGGGGACGGAGAAGGCUAUGUUGGCCGGGCGACGGUUGUCCCGGUUUAAGCGUGUAGGUGUGUGUUCCAGGUAAAUCCGGUUCACUUUAACACUGAGGCGUGAUGACGAGGCACUACGGUGCUGAAGCAACAAAUGCCCUGCUUCCAGGAAAAGCCUCUAAGCAUCAGGUAACAUCAAAUCGUACCCCAAACCGACACAGGUGGUCAGGUAGAGAAUACCAAGGCGCUUGAGAGAACUCGGGUGAAGGAACUAGGCAAAAUGGUGCCGUAACUUCGGGAGAAGGCACGCUGACACGUAGGUGAAGUGAUUUACUCAUGGAGCUGAAGUCAGUCGAAGAUACCAGCUGGCUGCAACUGUUUAUUAAAAACACAGCACUGUGCAAACACGAAAGUGGACGUAUACGGUGUGACGCCUGCCCGGUGCCGGAAGGUUAAUUGAUGGGGUCAGCGCAAGCGAAGCUCCUGAUCGAAGCCCCGGUAAACGGCGGCCGUAACUAUAACGGUCCUAAGGUAGCGAAAUUCCUUGUCGGGUAAGUUCCGACCUGCACGAAUGGCGUAAUGAUGGCCAGGCUGUCUCCACCCGAGACUCAGUGAAAUUGAACUCGCUGUGAAGAUGCAGUGUACCCGCGGCAAGACGGAAAGACCCCGUGAACCUUUACUAUAGCUUGACACUGAACAUUGAGCCUUGAUGUGUAGGAUAGGUGGGAGGCUUUGAAGUGUGGACGCCAGUCUGCAUGGAGCCGGCCUUGAAAUACCACCCUUUAAUGUUUGAUGUUCUAACGUGGACCCGUGAUCCGGGUUGCGGACAGUGUCUGGUGGGUAGUUUGACUGGGGCGGUCUCCUCCUAAAGAGUAACGGAGGAGCACGAAGGUUGGCUAAUCCUGGUCGGACAUCAGGAGGUUAGUGCAAUGGCAUAAGCCAGCUUGACUGCGAGCGUGACGGCGCGAGCAGGUGCGAAAGCAGGUCAUAGUGAUCCGGUGGUUCUGAAUGGAAGGGCCAUCGCUCAACGGAUAAAAGGUACUCCGGGGAUAACAGGCUGAUACCGCCCAAGAGUUCAUAUCGACGGCGGUGUUUGGCACCUCGAUGUCGGCUCAUCACAUCCUGGGGCUGAAGUAGGUCCCAAGGGUAUGGCUGUUCGCCAUUUAAAGUGGUACGCGAGCUGGGUUUAGAACGUCGUGAGACAGUUCGGUCCCUAUCUGCCGUGGGCGCUGGAGAACUGAGGGGGGCUGCUCCUAGUACGAGAGGACCGGAGUGGACGCAUCACUGGUGUUCGGGUUGUCAUGCCAAUGGCACUGCCCGGUAGCUAAAUGCGGAAGAGAUAAGUGCUGAAAGCAUCUAAGCACGAAACUUGCCCCGAGAUGAGUUCUCCCUGAGACUUAGAGUCUCCUGAAGGAACGUUGAAGACGACGACGUUGAUAGGCCGGGUGUGUAAGCGCAGCGAUGCGUUGAGCUAACCGGUACUAAUGAACCGUGAGGCUUAACCUUACA